UUAGAGUUUUGCAUUGGAUCACAUUCGUUUGUUAAGUUUUAUCGGAAGAACAGAAUAUUCUCAUUCAAAAUUCGGUUAUCGCACAACCAGUCCUCAAUGGCUAAAUUCAAUCGAUUCGUUUUUGUGUUCGUUGUGAUGUUCAUUUUUGCUGCAGUCGCUUUACAAUCGGUCGCAGCAGAGUCUCCAUUGUGCGCUGUAGGGGGUUCAGCUUGUGCUGACGGAUGCAAAUCAGCAGGAUACGAGGGUGGUGCUUGCGCACAGCGUGGAGAAUGUCUUAAGUGCUAUUGUAUAUAAUGUGAUAGAUGAUCUAAUAAAUGCAUAGUGAUGAUUAU